UACGUAGGGGGGCAAGCGUUGUCCGGAAUCAUUGGGCGUAAAGAGCGUGUAGGCGGCUUGGUAAGUCCGCUGUGAAAAGUCCAGGGCUCAACCCUGGAAUGCCGGUGGAAAACUGUCAAGCUUGAGUCCGGAAGAGGCGAGUGGAAUUCCUGGUGUAGCGGUGAAAUGCGCAGAUAUCAGGAGGAACACCAAUGGCGAAGGCAGCUCGCUGGGACGGUACUGACGCUGAGACGCGAAAGCGUGGGGAGCAAACAGG
rnacentral:rRNA from 1 species